rnacentral:rRNA from 1 species
UACGUAGGGUGCGAGCGUUUGUCCGGAAUUAUUGGGCGUAAAGAGCUUGUAGGCGGUUUGUCGCGUCUGCUGUGAAAAUCCGGGGCUCAACCCCGGACUUGCAGUGGGUACGGGCAGACUAGAGUGUGGUAGGGGAGACUGGAAUUCCUGGUGUAGCGGUGAAAUGCGCAGAUAUCAGGAGGAACACCGGUGGCGAAGGCGGGUCUCUGGGCAACAACUGACGCUGAGGAGCGAAAGCGUGGGGAGCAAACAGG